CCUACGGGAGGCAGCAGUGGGGAAUAUUGGACAAUGGGCGAAAGCCUGAUCCAGCAAUGCCGCGUGUGUGAAGAAGGCCUUAGGGUUGUAAAGCUCUUUCACCUGCGAAGAUGAUGACGGUAGCAGGAGAAGAAGCCCCGGCUAACUCCGUGCCAGCAGCCGCGGUAAU
rnacentral:rRNA from 1 species